UGGCGGGACGGGGUGGAGUAACGCGUGGGUAACCUGCCUCAUACAGGGGGAUAACAGUUAGAAAUGACUGCUAAUACCGCAUAAGACCACAGCACCGCAUGGUGCAGGGGUAAAAACUCCGGUGGUAUGAGAUGGACCCGCGUCUGAUUAGGUAGUUGGUGGGGUAACGGCCUACCAAGCCGACGAUCAGUAGCCGACCUGAGAGGGUGACCGGCCACAUUGGGACUGAGACACGGCCCAA
rnacentral:rRNA from 1 species